GGCCUGCUGCGGGAGCGCGAGGGAUGUUUCCAAACCAAAACCCAUGCAGGGCAGGCAGGAACAGUAUUUGUGACAUUUUUUUACUCGGGGAACCGGAGCGCUGGGAAGAGGGAAGGUGAAAGACAACAAAUAGCUGUGCUAGGGUGUACUCAAGCAACAAGAAUCAACUGAAAACCCAGCAAAAGACGAGUCCCCAUCUCCAGGAAGGAACUGCCGCACGAAAGGCCGCUUUCACUGUCAGGGCCGGAGAGCUGUUCCUCAACCACUGUCUCCCGCUUGUUCACUGAGCUGCCGGCCAAGGUCUCUGCAGCCAAAGCCCUGCGCCGGGCACCCUGCCCCGGCUGCCGAGCCAGCCGCUGCGGGUGGCCUGGGGAGCAGGACCCCACUGCCCCCCCCGGGCCAGGGCAUCGCCUCCCUGCCACUGCCGAAUGAACCCCCCGUGCCCAGCGAGCUCACCUGCAGCCACAGUGCCUGGGAGUAAUAAGCUUUUUAAAACGGUCUUUUACAGCAUCUUCGGGAAUUACUAAGCACAAAAAGCAAAACGGACCCGAGUCCUCUGGAGGUUUAGCUGGUGUUGUCGGGCAGGCACAUGAGAUACCUUUUGUUUAAAGGCAUAUCUGCCAGAAGAACCAGGUUAAUGGUGCUUAAUAAAUAUAGCUUCAUUUUCCAGCUUUAUAGUGAAAA